GGUUUGUUAGAAAAUAAAUAGUACUCCGUACUGUAGUACAUUUUUCUUCAAUUCCCUUCCGUAAGAUCCCCAAUUUUCCGCACUGGCCAGUGCUCACGGUUCCACUUCUCCUUUUUCUUUUGUCCACCGCUAUUCUUUGAAUCUGAUUGAUGCCACUUCAGAAAUCCAAAAAAUCUUGUAUUGUCAGCUCCUCCAAGGAAUCCACUGAAAUUAGAUCGCCAACAUUCUUCCUCACCGAGAAAUUUAGCCUAAAUGGAGCAUGCGGCACUAAUCUUGGAGGACCAUGGUGGUCGUCCGGGCUGAAGAGGGCCGGGCACCUUAGGUCCGACCUGGACCGUGAGUCUUGCGGCGGAGGUCGCCGGCCGUCUACUUCGACAUGAUAGAGGUCUUGAUGUCUAAUAUUGAUUUAAAUCGCACACGAAAAUAUGGAGGAAUUGCUUCAUAGUAGGUGCUAAUUGCGCGCCGGCUGGAGGAGACGGCCGAAGUUGGCAGAAUCCCUACAAAGAUACAAUAAUAACUUCAUUCAGUCCUCCGCCUACACCAUUGUUCGAGCGUCCUCUACUUUGCGAUUGAGGCUUGGGAUCGGCAUCGGCAGUGUUAUGCAUAUCUAACAAAAUGAAGGUGUGUCAUUAUUUGUUUCUGUUUCCCUACCAUUUAGAUGGUACAUGAAUAUUUAUGUAUGUACCAGCAAAAUCACAUAAGUACAUCUAUUUUAUAUAUUUUUCAUUUCUUUCUUUGAUGUCACCAAUCUCUACCGUUAUAAUUCAUGGGAAAGGCAGAGUAAUUAAAAAAGUGAAUAUAAAAAAUG